AAUCGUAUAGCUCAAUAGGUUGGAGCAUCGACCUGAUACGUCGAAGGGUGAAGGUUCGAAUCCUUCUGCGAUUA
rnacentral:tRNA from 1 species